UACGUAGGCAGCGAACGUUGUUCGGAAUCACUGGGCUUAAAGGGCGCGUAGGCGGGUGCUCAAGUCCGUGGUGAAAUCCUCCGGCUCAACCGGAGAACUGCCUCGGAUACUGGGCGUCUCGAGUGUGGUAGGGGUAUGCGGAACUAUCGGUGGAGCGGUGAAAUGCGUUGAUAUCGAUAGGAACUCCGGUGGCGAAGGCGGCAUACUGGACCACCACUGACGCUGAUGCGCGAAAGCCAGGGGAGCAAACGGG
rnacentral:rRNA from 1 species